GUCAAGCCUUCCCGCAGGCUGCAGCCAGCGAGGUGUACUAGUAAACUCCGGUAAACUCAGAAAGUCUCACCUUGACUGUGCACAGAAGUAGGCUACUCUACAAUGACUCAAGGUUCAGAGACUGAUGGUGAGGGGUUUCAUACACUCUCUCCUCGUGGCGCCGAGAGUCUGUGAGCAAACCAAUACUACGUGUUGUGGUUCUUGUGUCUAUAUGUUGAGAACUAAAGUCUGAAAUGUCCAGAUUUACGGAAUCAGCCCAACUGCCUGUGACCGUGAAGGAGAUAAAAAAAGAAGAAUGUGAUUAUUUGCCACAAGACUAUCUGUUUGCAAGUGGGAAAGUGGGAGAAAAGCCUGGGCUGGAACAUGACUACAAGACUGAGACAGACACAACAUCAUCCUUGACCUGCAAAGAAAAACAUAUUCACCAAUGAAAAUUAAACAGGAGGAAGAAACUGACUUAAGAGAAUAUGGUUAUGAUGACUCUUCUCCUUCAAGAGACGUUCUAAGGAACCAAUCUAACAGAAGAGGGAGUGCUAAGGAAAAAUUAAACAAACAGAGAUGUCUCAGAAGCUCCCGGUGCAGGACGAUCUCAAGCCAGAAAUUAAAUCACCGAUCGGACACCGGAGAGAAACAGAAUGAAUGUUCCCACUGUUUUAAAACCUUUGCUGGUUCUUCCGCACUUGCAAAUCAUCAACAAAUACACACAGGAGAAAAGCUCCAUCGGUGCUCAGAGUGUGGAAGGACCUUCAGUCACAUAGGUAAUCUCAGGAGACAUCAAAUGAUUCACACAGGGGAAAAGCCCCAUCAUUGCACUACAUGUGGAAUGGAUUUUAGGAGUAGCUCAGAUCUCGCAGUCCAUCAGAUUACACAUACUGGAGAAAAGCCCCAUCACUGUUCCGAGUGUGGAAAGACCUUUAAUCUCAUGUUCAGUCUCAAGAGACACCAGAUGAUCCAUUCUGGGGAAAAACCUCAUAAGUGUACUAUGUGUGAGAAUAGUUUCAGGACAAAGGCAGAACUCGCCCUUCACCAGAUCACACAUACUGGAGAAAAACCGCACGUGUGCUAUCAGUGUGG